UACGUAGGGGGCAAGCGUUUGUCCGGAUUUAUUGGGCGUAAAGAGCGUGUAGGCGGCCAGAUAGGUCCGUUGUGAAAACUGGAGGCUCAACCUCCAGACGUCGACGGAAACCGUGUGGCUAGAGUCCGGAAGAGGAGAGUGGAAUUCCUGGUGUAGCGGUGAAAUGCGCAGAUAUCAGGAAGAACACCAAUGGCGAAGGCAGCUCUCUGGGACGGUACUGACGCUGAGACGCGAAAGCGUGGGGAGCGAACAGG
rnacentral:rRNA from 1 species